AGGGGUGUAGCUCAGUGGUAGAUCACUUACCUGGCAUGCAUAAAGCCUUGGGUUUGAUCCCCUACACCACAG
rnacentral:tRNA from 1 species